ACUCUUGUCAGUGGAUAUCUUGGCUCGCUGAACGAUGAAGAACGCAGCGAAAUGCGAUACUUAAUGUGAAUUGCAGAAUUCAGUGAAUCAUCGAACCUUUGAACGCACCUUGCGCUUCCCGCCUCCGGCUGGAAGCACACUUCCUCCAGUGGCACCACCAACCCCCUCGGGUGCGCCCCGCGCGCAUCCGGAUCGUGGCCGCUGCCGCCAUUUCGAUGGCGGCGCCGGCUGAAGGAUCGAGCGCCGCUUGCGGGCCGCGUGCGGACCGCGCUCGAAUGAGCGCGGUUCGGCCAAUGUGCUACCGGUUUGACGACCCUUGUCAUUGGUGUGAGCGCGGUCCCGACUGGCGCGAGUUGGGCGAGCGGAUUCGUUCGCCGUCCGGUUCGUCCCUUAUAAUUACUUCUUGCCAUGGAGUGACGUGAGGCUACCCGCUGAACUUAAGCAUAUCACUAAGCGGAGGAGAAGAAAACAACCGUGAUGCCCCUAGUAAUGGCGAAUGAAGCGGGCAUAGCUCACGCCGCCAAUCUGGAGGCCCUCGCGGCCCCCCGAAUUGUAGUCUAGAAAGGCGCCAUCGGCCGCGUCCGUCGCCAAAAUCCCUUGGAACAGGGUAUCGGAGAAGGUGAGAAUCCUGUGACGUGGCGGAUCGCGGCCGCACGAUGCGUUCUUACAGAGUCGGGUUGCUUGGGAUUGCAGCUUGAAAUGGGAGGUAAAUUCCUUCUAAAGCUAAAUAUUGCAGCGAGACCGAUAGCGAACAAGUACCGUGAGGGAAAGAUGCAAAGAACUUUGAAAAGAGAGUUAAAGAGUGCUUGAAACCGACAAGGGGAAACCCGGUUGCGCCCGGUGUCGUGUAGUCGACUCAGCCCUAACGGGUGCACUUUGACUGCACGGGUCAGCCGCCUCUCCGCGCGAGGGAGAAGCACCUUAGUUUAGUUACCGGGGACUUACCUCGCGUGGGGCGCCGUCUGACGUAACGGGCGCCACCGACCCGUCUAGAAACACGGACCAAGGAGUCUGACAUGGACGCGAGUACUUGGGUGUCAAACCUAUGUGCGCAAUGAAAGUGAAGGGCGUGCCCCGCCAACCGACCUUGAUCUGCUGUGAAGGGUUUGAGUGGAGCGUUCCUGUCGGGACCCGAAAGAUGGUGAACUAUGCCUGGAUAGGUUGAAGUCUGCUGAAAGGCAGAUGGAGGGCCGUAGCGAUACUGACGUGCAAAUCGUUCGUCAAAUCUGGGUAUAGGGGCGAAAGACUAAUCGAACCAUCUAGUAGCUGGUUCCCUCCGAAGUUUCCCUCAGGAUAGCUUGAACGCCGACGGUUUUGUCAGGUAAAGCGAAUGAUUAGAGGCCUUGGGGCUGCAACAGCCUUAACCUAUUCUCAAACUUUAAAUGGGCAAGAAGCUUGGGAUGCUUGAUUGAUCCCUUGCGGUGAACGGCGCGUUCAAAGUGGGCCAUUUUUGGUAAGCAGAACUGGCGAUGCGGGAUGAACCGAACGUCGCGCUAAGGUACCCAAGUGUCCGCUCAUCAGAUACCACAAAAGGCGUUGAUACCUUUAGACAGCAGGACGGUGGCCAUGGAAGUCGGAACCCGCUAAGGAAUGUGUAACAACUCACCUGCCGAAGGUAUUAGCCCUGAAAAUGGAUGGCGCUCAAGCGGACCACCGAUGCGCGACCGCCGGCGCGAGUGCGAGGCGCCGGCGAGUAGGAGGGCGCGGGGCUCGUGACGCAGCCUUGGGCGUGAGCCUGGGUGAAACGGGCUCUGGUGCAGAUCUUGGUGGUAGUAGCAAAUAUUCAGAUGAGAACUCUGAAGACUGAAGUGGAGAAAGGUUCCAUGUGAACAGCAGUUGGACAUGGGUGAGCCGACCCUAAGAGUCAGGAAAGCUCCGUUGAACGCGGCCCUUCUGUGGCCCGUCCUCGAAAGGGAAUCGGGUUAAUAUUCCCGAGCCAGCGCGUGGAUGGUGGGCGGUGACGCGAACGAACUCGGAGACGUCGGCGGGAGCCCUGGGAAGAGUUCUCUUUUCUUCUUAACUGCCUCUUGCCCUGAAAACGGUUCGGCCGGAGCUAGGGCUUUAUGGCAGGCAAAGCACCUUAAGUCUUGAGGUGUCCGGCGCGCUCCCGACGGCCCGUGAAAAUCCGGGGGAGCGGUUCGUUCUCACGCCUGGUCGUACUCAUAACCGCAUCAGGUCUCCAAGGUGAACAGCCUCUAGUCGAUAGAGCAAUGUAGAUAAGGGAAGUCGGCAAAAUGGUUCCGCAACCUCGGGAGAAGGAAUGGCUCUGAAGGCUGGGCUUAAGGGUCUUAGGUCCGAGGCCCAAGGCUGCGCGAGGACUACUGCUCACGCGGCGGACCACGCGCGGCCGACCGGCGGAUGGCCUAGGAGUGCUUCGGCUUUCCUUAGGCGAUGAACAGCUGCUUCAGAACUGGCGCGGACAAGGGGAAUCCGACUGUUUAAUUAAAACAAAGCAUUGCGAUGGCCGGGGACGGUGCUGACGCAAUGUGAUUUCUGCCCAGUGCUCUGAAUGUCAAAGUGAAGAAAUUCAACCAAGCGCGGGUAAACGGCGGGAGUAACUAUGACUCUCUUAAGGUAGCCAAAUGCCUCGUCAUCCAAUUAGUGACGCGCAUGAAUGGAUUCGUGAGAUUCCCACUGUCCCUAUCUACUGUCUAGCGAAACCACAGCCAAGGGAACGGGCUUGGAAAAAUCAGCGGGGAAAGAAGACCCUGUUGAGCUUGACUCUAGUCUGUUGCGCGGGACGACUUGAGAGGUGUAGAAUAAGUGGGAGGGUGACCGCCAAUGAAAUACCACUACUUUCAACGUCGUCCCACUUACCCGGUCGUGCGGAAUGGUGCUUGCACCUCUUCUGGCUCUAAGCUUGCGAUCCGCGUCGGGGACACACACAGGUGGGGAGUUUGGCUGGGGCGGCACGUCUGUUAAAAAAUAACGCAGGCGCCCGAUUUUGAGCUCAAUGAGAA
rnacentral:rRNA from 1 species